UACGUAGGGCGCAAGCGUUAUCCGGAAUUAUUGGGCGUAAAGAGCUCGUAGGCGGUUUGUCGCGUCUGCCGUGAAAGUCCGGGGCUCAACUCCGGAUCUGCGGUGGGUACGGGCAGACUAGAGUGAUGUAGGGGAGACUGGAAUUCCUGGUGUAGCGGUGAAAUGCGCAGAUAUCAGGAGGAACACCGAUGGCGAAGGCGAGUCCCUGGACGAUACCUGACACUGAGGCACGAAAGCCAAGGGAGCAAACAGG
rnacentral:rRNA from 1 species